AAAAGAGAGGACGAACGAGCUCCGCGCCGCGCGGACCCCGGCGGAGAGUGUGCGAGGACCCCGUCGGUGUGCGAGUCCAAAUGCCGCCGGCUGAAUUCGUCCUCUCUCUCUCUCUCCCCCCCCCGCCCCAACCACCACCCUUUUACCGCCCCAUGGUCCCGUGUGGAGAGAAGCAACUAAAAGAAGAAGAAGCAGAAGAGAGAAGCGACGCAGCGGCUCAGCGGUACAACUGUAACCGGACGAAUCCCUGCAUUGCUCUUCUUAUUUAUCGCAAGCUGCUCGCGCGCUCCGCUGGAACGGGAGAAAACACACCGGCGCGCGCGCAGAGUUCGGGCGGGCGGACGCUGAACCUCACACCGGGCGGGUGGCGGAGAAAAUGUUCAAAAAGACGGGGUUCCGUGAUCGCAGUGUCCAAUUACCGAGUGCUCGCUCGUCCCGAUUGUUAGUCCAUAACAUUCCAAUCCCGACACGACGGCAGCUGCCGUCCCAUCGAUGCCCACCGGCGCCGCUGAUUGGUCCGUUAGAGGGAGCGGAAGAGGCGGGACUUGCACUAACGCACCCAUUCAUGACCGUGGUCCUCCGCAUGUGCGAAUUGUCUUAUUGCGAGCCUAUGGUUGUAGUUUGGAGAUGUGUCAGAAGCAAAGCGCCCCUCAGUAAUAAUAAUAUAGAUUUCCAUUGGACGCUUUUAUUAUGACAUGCAGGCUCAUGACUCAUUCUAUAUACAUGUAUACACAUAUACAUAGGUAUAUACAUAUAUAUACACAUACAUAUAUACAUAGGUAUACAUAUAUAUACACAUACAUAUAUACCUAUCAUACAUAUAUACACAUACAUAUAUACAUAUAUAUACACAUACAUAUAUACAUAGGUAUACAUAUAUACAUAUACACAUAUAUAUACAUAUAUACAUAUAUACAUGUAUGUAUACAUAUAUAUAUAUACAUAUAUACAUGUAUAUAUACAUAUAUAUACAUAUAUAUGUAUAUACAUGUAUAUAUACAUAUACAUAUAUACAUACACACACAUACAUACACACACAUAUAUAUAUAUAUAUACAUAUAUAUAUGUAUGUAUGUAUGUAUAUAUAUAUACACAUAUACACACACGUACAUAUAUAUACAUAUAUAUAUAUACACACACAUAUAUAUAUAUAUAUAUACAUACAUACAUACAUACAUACAUACACACACACACACACAUUAUAUUUUAUUUUAUUUAUAUUCAGCACUCCGGUAACUGAAUGCAAUACCGUAUUGCUUUUUUUCUUUUGUUGCAGCUCAUUGACCCAUACAAACAAACCUGGACAACCAUGUCAACAAUUUCCUUUAUGGGAAAGCUUUAUACGGGAAAAAGGGACAGAAGUCCUGUCCAAGCCACAAAAGUAAGAUUAUCCCUGAGCAAUUUGCCUGUAGCAUGCUGUAACGCUGACAUUGCCUCCAGGACUCUGUGGAAAAGAAUGAUGUCAUUGGUAAUUUGUCUCAUAAAAACACCCAGUAAAAGAUUUAAGACACAAAGGCCCUCCACGAGAAUAACUUGUCGGAUGUCAAGUUUCCUUGUGUUCACAAAAGAAAAAAGAAAGAAGCAAAGUGACACUGCAGCGUUGACCCCUUUGACAAGCAAAUUAAUAGCAGGGGAGUGUUUCUCGCUCAGUAUCACCAUGCCUCAUAAGCCCGCAUAAUCCUCCCCACAGCCAUUUGGUGGCAAAACUCUCCGGCUGGGUGAAGAGGCCAUCCUCAUUUUUUAUUGGCUAAUUAGUUCCAAAGAGGGGGGGCUAAUUAGCCAGGCUGACUGGGAGACAGGCCAGGACCCUGUGGUUGGCCGGCGCCCAUCGUCGGAGUAUGCUGGUGAUGAAUGCGGUUCCAGAGGGCUGCUCCUGUCUUACUUGUCCUGCCUAAUCCAAUGUCAAGCAGCACAUAUAUAUAUGAAGAUGUGAACCGUGAAGUCUCCGUCUACCUAGAACAGGUAGCAGCCUUGAAUUUUCUCCCUACUUACUUAACUGCACUCUGAUGGAAAAGACACACAACGGUCAAUUCAACACCACUGGUGUCAAUCUUGUUGUCGGUGCCUGGUUUACCUCGCCUUCACACCUCCCAUAUUGAAGAUAGGGUGCACAUAAACGCACACAGUCCUUAUUUUUUUAAACCGUGCCUUUAAACGAAGCCUGCAGAGCUCCUCCAACGUCUAUAAAGUCAGUGGCAGCCGUGUCGCUGAACUGUGUGUAGUUGACACACACACACACGGUGAAUCCCCGACUGCAGUGACACUGACAGCACAGACGGAAAAACACCACUUUGAGGGGGGGAGGCUUAAACCCCUAAAAUGGAGCGUGUCAAUCAAAGAAGAUGGAACCAUCUGCAUAGGGACAUUUUCUUGAAAAAGGCUUGUGUCUUGUUAUGUGUUGUGGGGUUUUUUUGCCGCCACAAAGCAUUUCUCAGAUCGCAGGUGAGACCCAGCAGAGACAGUAGGCGUUCACUGCGGCGCCAUCAAAGGCGCCACGUACCCCCAGGUUGUACCCACGUGUGUGUGCCCACUGCUUUGGAACAAUUUGGAGCCGUGUGGUCUCCGCAUGACAGCGCUGGAGGACUGGGAGUCAUUCCAGAGAGCUUCGCCUCACUCCCCUCCCUUCAUCCUCUCCUUGUGUACACUUCUAAUAUUUCCACCCCCGAUAAAAAUUCCCCUCUUCAAUCCCACAUGCUUCUCGUUCACAAGACUGCAUCAUGUCUGAGAUGUGAGGCCAGCUGUGAAACAGUAUAAAGUUAAACGUUGAAAUGUGUUUAUCUUUAUUUAUGACUAUAUGCAACCCUUGUAUUGCCCCAAUUGGUGGGUCUCGAGUGUUCCAAUUCAUUUUCCUUCACAAACCCACACGGAGCCAUUACAUUCUGAGAAAAACAGUUUGUCACCUUUGUAAAACCCACCAGCUCUUCCGAGAAUACUCACCGCUGGUUUUCCAAAGUAUUAGCAGAACUAACCAUCUGGAUGAAAAGAUUUGUCUGCUGUGCAAUAUAAACCUGUUUUAGUACCUGAUCCCUCAGUUGUUCCUUUGGUUUUUAUUUAAAAAACAGAGAUGGUGGGUGGACAUGACACUUGGGCUAAAACUAAAAAAGACCACACAUUUGAGUUUCAGUCUUUGGAUUUGGCAGAAAAGUUUUUCCUGUUCACUCAUGGAUUUGGACGGCCUGAGAGAAUAAGAAAGUCAUUUGUAAGUGUAAAAAAAGAGUGUGUAAUACCCCUUUAGGGUAAGUAAGUUCUUACUACAGUGACCGGGAUGAGUCCGGCCGAGGGCCCCUCGCUGCUUCCUCUCUCUCUCUCUCUCCUCUGCAUUCACAAUCAAAUGAAGCAGAAAAUAGUAUUUUAACGGACUCGGGGCACUUCUACACCCUGUGUCACAAAGUAAUUAAAUCACAACUAGCACCAGAUGUUGAAGUAGUUUUAGUAGUUAUAUGUCCUGACUGAAUAAACAAAUUAAAAUGUACCUGUGGACUUCCUCUUCUCCUGCAAAGCGCUUCCCCUCAGUGACGGCAAGCAGCCAUGGGAAAGACUUGCAAAUUCAUGCCGCGGUAAACAAAUCCGCGCGGCUGCAAGGAAACCUGUGGGUUCAGCGAGUUUCAGGCAGGACAAAGACAAAACAGCCUUUGAGAGUCUUCAGGCUGCUGCUGAUCAGUCACUGAUAAACUCGGGAUGAUGUAACAAGCUGGGAUCCAGCAAACACAAAGGCCGUGUGUGUGUGUGUGUGUGUGUGUGUGUGUGUGUGUGUGUGUGCGCCCAUCAAGGUGUGCAUAUGCCCAAAAAUACUGUAUCCCAGGAGUGCGGCGUGUGUGUUGCUUUGGCUCCGUGCACCUGGCUUGGUUAUGCACUAGAGACUGUAUUUUAGUGGUGUGUGAAGAACAAGUCUCACAUCAAAAUGACUUUACUUUUUAAAAGCUUGUGUCGUUCCCUCCUACAACCCGAGAAUGGAGCGAUCCCACCUUCAUGGUCUCACAGGGAGGGCGCUCUUCCUCUCUGACAGGACUGCUUUCUAAGUUGUAAGUUUUUCAGUUUCUAGUCCUGUCACAUGUCUCGGUUGUUUCCCAGCGAUUAUUCAGUGCAAACCGUCUGCGGCUUGAGGCUGAGAGAGCGGCAGCGGCGUGAGCGCAUCGCGAUGGUCGUAAGCCUCAAAGCCGAGGGAAGAAAUGAACUGCACACGGUUUUCUCUCUGCGUGGCUGACAACCAAAAACGGUGCAGCGACAAACAGGCCAGACGUUGGUUGUUUUGUGUUUGUGUAAGAGCAACGCGGCGGGCGCGGCGGCGGCAUGUGAGCAGGAGCCAACCUGGACUUUGCGUUCUCAGACGGCCAACGGCGGCGCUUCAGGCUGCCGAAAGCUAAACGGUGCGGCCUUGGCCGUCCUCCGUGUGUGGGAUGCCUCGUGAUCUCUGCGUUCUUUAUUUAUUCAAAGUGACCUUUCGACUACCGAGGCGAGAUUGCUUUGGGCAAACAGAGCUGGCAUCUCAAA
ensembl:lncRNA